rnacentral:sRNA from 2 species
CAAGCGAAGCGCUCGUAUUCCAAAUUUGUUUAAGAAACGAGCAAGGCCAACUGGACUGAAUUCAAUAGUGAUCAAUACUUGAAAUGUCGGCGUGACAUCUCCCCCAAGUGAAGCGCCGAUGAAGGUACCAAGGGAUGGUGUGCCUUUAGUUUUACUCCUAAUGGUCUUAACCCGGAUUCACCCCCCAGAACCCGG